GCGGACGUAGUUCAGUUGGCUAGAACAUUUCCUUGCCAAGGAAGAGGUCGCGGGUUCGAAUCCCGUCGUCCGCU
rnacentral:tRNA from 3 species